AUCCAGCUGAUGAGUCCUAAAUAGGACAAAACGCGCGUCAAACUGGAU
rfam:Schistosoma mansoni strain Puerto Rico chromosome 7, complete genome